rnacentral:tRNA from 1 species
GGUGGCUAAGUGGUAGAGCACUUGCCUUGCAUGCAUGAGGUCUUGGGUUUGAUUCCUCAGUACCA